AACGCUGGCGGCAGGCCUAACACAUGCAAGUCGAGCGGUAACAGGAAUUAGCUUGCUAAUUCGCUGACGAGCGGCGGACGGGUGAGUAAUGCCUGGGAAUAUGCCUUAGUGUGGGGGAUAACUAUUGGAAACGAUAGCUAAUACCGCAUAAUGUCUUCGGACCAAAGAGGGGGACCUUCGGGCCUCUCGCGCUAAGAUUAGCCCAGGUGGGAUUAGCUAGUUGGUGAGGUAAAGGCUCACCAAGGCAACGAUCCCUAGCUGGUCUGAGAGGAUGAUCAGCCACACUGGAACUGAGACACGGUCCAGACUCCUACGGGAGGCAGCAGUGGGGAAUAUUGCACAAUGGGGGAAACCCUGAUGCAGCCAUGCCGCGUGUAUGAAGAAGGCCUUCGGGUUGUAAAGUACUUUCAGUCGUGAGGAAGGGUAUGUAGUUAAUAGCUGCAUACCUUGACGUUAGCGACAGAAGAAGCACCGGCUAACUCCGUGCCAGCAGCCGCGGUAAUACGGAGGGUGCGAGCGUUAAUCGGAAUUACUGGGCGUAAAGCGCAUGCAGGCGGUCUGUUAAGCAAGAUGUGAAAGCCCGGGGCUCAACCUCGGAACCGCAUUUUGAACUGGCAGACUAGAGUCUUGUAGAGGGGGGUAGAAUUUCAGGUGUAGCGGUGAAAUGCGUAGAGAUCUGAAGGAAUA
rnacentral:rRNA from 1 species